AGAAAGUUUAAACAUUAGAUCUUUACAGGAGUAUGUUGAGAGAUUGUGUAGAUCACAUGCAUGGGAGGUAUGGCUGCAUAAACAAAGUGAUUUAACUCUUAAAUGGCAGAGAAUUGAGCAAAACUACUCAAUUAAGCUAACGUUGUUUUGGUGCUUAUAAUGUCCCUUAAAUGAUUACACUUUUAAGGGGACAAAAUUGGACAACAAUUUGCUUUGGAACUAUUCCUUAAUCUAAAUAAG